AACACGUCAUUGUCCCCACGGCGUGUGUUGCAGUCCGGUUUGGUGGAUGGUACGGCAGUGCUCCUAGCGAGGCGGAAUUAACAGCGGCGAGCGGUAGAGAGAGGAUACCAAUGUGGAUUGGAAGGAUGCGAAGGAUUUGCAGACCGGCUCUGCAGAAACAAGCACUAUACCAAGAUCUGGCAGAGUCACUCCAUUCGUCAAGAUGUAAAUAGAGCGGCAGCUGCUGCUGCUGCCAUGUCUGGCAGGAUUAAGGGAGUUAGAAGGGCAGGAUUUGCAGGUGGGAAACUGCCACCAGCCACCGCCACCCGGAUUUGAUGUCGUUCCCUGAAUGGUGACCCCAAUAUAGUCAGAUUUGGAACAUGGAAGGAGAGAGCGCCACUCACGGUGGUGACAAACCAUACCCAUUCUCGCAGCGUUUCAGUGACUCGCCUGGACUGACCCAACAGCAGCGUAGUCACACCAAGGAGAAACCAUGGAAGUGUGGGGAUUGUGGGAAGGGCUUCAGAUCCCCAUCCGAGCUGGAAACCCAUCGACGCAUUCACAGUUCGGAGAGACCGUUCACCUGCCCUGACUGUGGGAAGGGUUUCACUCGGUUAACGUCAGUGCUGACGCACAAGCUGGUUCACACUGACGAGAGACCUUUUAAGUGCCCAGAGUGCGGGAAGUGCUUCAAAAGUUCCGGACAACUGUUGAGCCAUCAACGUGUUCACACUGAUGAGAGACCGUUCCGAUGUUCUCACUGUGGGACUGGUUUUAGGCGAUCAUCUAACCUCAGUAUACACCAGCGAAUUCACACUGGGGAGAGGCCGUUCAUCUGCUCCGAAUGUGGGAAGAGGUUCACUCGGUUGUCUCACCUACUGACACACAAGGGAGUUCACAAGUAACUGCUCACUGUUGGGAUUUUGCUUCUAAUCGUAACCAGCACUGAACUCACAUAUUGGAAUCUGAUUUCACUGAUGAUAUUAACUCCAGUUCUCGUCGAUUUGAUUUUUUUUUGCUUAGUAUUAGCAAUGAGCUUUGUGUUCAAGACAGUGUGUUUGUUCUUCGUAAUAUCUCGAAUAUGAGUUUUUUCCACACCUCUCCUUUUCCCCUGUCUCUUCCAUCCUCAACAAUUGCAAGGGGUUCAUGGAGCUUCCUUGAAACAACCUGUCCAGCUGCCUCUGCUGCUUCCCUGUCUUCCCUUGAGCUGAGCUGUCCCUAAAUCUGCCCUUGUUGGAACUCGCUACUUGCAUCUUUCUCCAGUUUCCCUCCUCCAUGCUGUCAUACACUGUGUGUGAUUGGCGAUCUUUAUUGGUUGUCAGUCUUUGAAGGGAGCCCACCAUUCAAACAUAGCUUUUCCCACUGACCUCUCAUUCUAGUCAAUCCUGCCCAACUCUGUCCUUGCCCCUGUUGAAGUGAGCUCUCCUCAAUUCAAAAUCACCAGAACACCAAGUUAUAGUCCAACAGGCUUAAUUGGAAGCACUAGCUUUCGGAGCGCUACUCCUUCAUCCGAAAGCAAGUGCUUCCAAUUAAACCUGUUGGACUAUAAGGUGUUGUGUGAUUUUUAACUUUGUACACCCCAGUCCAACACCGGCAUCUCCAAAUCAUGACUCCUCAAUUGAAAUUUCUAACUCUGGAUUGAUGCUAGUGAUGCUGCUGCAUCAUCCUGCACACAUACAACCACUGUCUCUUAAAUGCUCUGCACUGACACCUUAGCAACUUGGCCCAUGUUGUAGAGAAAAAUUACUCCAGAAUCAGAUUUAGCAGCAAGUCAAAGCAGAGUUGACUAAACAAAAGCUUUUGAGAGCAGCGAGGUCACCCAAAGCGCAGGGUUUCGACCAAACAGUCUCCCUAAUUGCACAGAUCCCCCAGGCCUUUGUAUCCUUAACCACAGCAAAAUGCACCAUUUCAAUCACGUAAACUGUCCUUCAGACAGAACAUCCCAUGCGUAUCAUCCCCGCACAGGUUUCCGCCUGCUGAGACUGCAGCCACUGGCGAAUUUGGGUUUGUGGUUUUGCUCGGUAAUACUCAUACUUCCUGUUAAUCCAGCUUGCUCCUGCAGCAGUCAGCACUUUAGCAAGAUUGAGCACAAAUUGCCACAAAGGUGUGUCAACCAUCCCAGCAUGCUUUACACAUGUAGUCAGCAAUCCCAGAAUGCUCGACUUCACUCCCCCCCCCCCCCCCCCCCCCCCCUCCCCGCCACAACCUUAUGAUCAGAGGCCAUGGUCAACCAGGGAUUGUAGGUGUGACUGCAUUUUUAUUUGUUCAAUGGAUGCAGACUUAUAUAGGAAACUCCCCUGCGUGCAAUCCAGGAUAACGUGUUCCUCGCUGUCCCUUACACUACCAAUGUUCAAUCUAUAUUGGAUAACUGAACUCUCUCAAUAUAACUACACUUUUUCAUUUGCAUCUUUACGGAAUUUCCCUGCAGAUAUGUUCCUCUGCAUUCCUUUCUUUCUAUAAACUUGCUCAGCAACGUUAUUGUAUCUGUUUUGUACCUUGGGUCGAGCCAGAUCAAUUUUGUUCUUGAACCUUUGAGAUAUCCUUGUUGCCCGGAUGGUUGAUGCUCUCCUCAACGGAUAGUGCCACCCUCUUCCUUUUCUAUCUUUUCUAAAAAAUACUUGUGCCCAGAAAUAAUUAACACGCAGUCUCUCCUUGAGACAGCUCUCUGUUAGUGCAGCAAUAGAACCAGUGACUCUUUAUUUUUCAAUCCUUCAAAAAUAUGUGCAAGUAAAUCUUAAUUGUUCUGUCAGUUCUCUGGCUUUUAUCUCAUUGCAUUGCUAUGGUUUCUGAUAUACAUACUUCUUUGUUCUUAGUACCUAAAAUUUAACAAAUUUAGUUGAAUAUAUAACUGAAAAUUUUCAAAUUACAGAGUAGCCCUUUUUUGGUCUUUAACUGAACCUUUAAAAAUAACUAUUAUAAAAUAACUGAAGUAUUCUGAUGCAGAAAUUGCCAUUCUCCUUUUUUUCCAAUAACCUGGUACAUUUAAAUUUAAUUAAAUGUACUCAUCUAAUGCCCCUCAUAGAUUCCCUGCAGUGCGGAAACAGGCCCUUUGGCUCAAUAAUCCACACCGACCCUCUGAAGAGUAACCUCCCAGCCCCAUUUCCCCACUCCUGACUAAUGCACUAACCUACACAUCCUUGAACACUAUGGGCAAUUUAGCAGUCAAUUCGCCCUAACCUGCGCAUCUUUGGACUGCGGGAGGAAACCCACACAGACAUGGUGGUGGUUGGUGGGGGUGGGGGGGGGAGGAGGGAGGAGGGGAGAGAAUGUGCAAACUCCACACAGACAGUUGCCCGAGAGUGGAAUCAAACCUGGGUCCUGACGCUGUGAGGCAGCAGUGCUGACCACUGAACCACUACGUGGCCUCUCAGCGACCAAAGUCUAGAUCAUGAAUAAAAUUUUUUAAAAAAAUGCCAAGGGAUCCAAUACUGAGCCCUGUGAAAAUCCAUUUCAAACCUUCCUCCAACCUGAAAAAUUUCCAAUGACCCAUUACUCUGUUUCCUAUCCCUCAACCAACUUCAUAUCCAUAUCACGUUUCUCUCGAGUUUGCUGUGUGACACUGUAUGGAAUCUCUUCUGACAGAAAGAAAAACCUCCAGCAAGUUAGUGACAUGCCUUUCGUAAAUACAUGCCACCUCUUCCUCACCUACCCACAUUUCUGCAUGUGACUACUAAUUCUAACCCUAAUAGUUGUUUCUCGAAGGUUCCCCACGGCUAGUAUUAAACUGACCACUCUGAAAUUGCUGGGAUAGUUAUUAAACCAAGGAGAAGCUGUUUGCAUUUCUGCAGUUUUGGGGGAGCAAGGAAGACUGAAAGGUUGGGCCCGUCUCCCUGCAAUGUCUUUCAGUGCUGUUUCCUUGGAUGUAUCUUAUCUGUUGAACCGAAAUGUCAGCAUUCUAGUCAAUGUCUCUUCCACGUCAAUUUUCAGUCGUUCUACUGAGUAAGUUUUGUCCUCUGUCACCAUGACCUGGGAAAUAUCUUCACACUAACAUUUCACACGAAGCGGGAGGGGUUUACUGGAUUAUUAUGUCAAGCUCAAAUGGUCAUCAAUGUAGACGUCGUGGAGAAAAUGCAGAGAAUCAGCAGGAGAUGUGGAAACUUUUUCAAGAAGUAGGUCUUUUAUUUGCAAAUAAAAAAAACCGUGAUACUCCAGAAAGCGAAUUCUUGAAGGCAGCAGAACGUCCGGGUCCAUGGCUCUUUCUACCUUUUUGUUAGCAGAUCAGCAUGUCCACCUGUGUUACUCAGAAUUACCUCAGACCAGAUUUACAAGAAACCAAUCAUAUUA